ACCGCAAUGGCUCCGUUAGUAGAGCAUUUGCCCGGUAAGCGGAGUGUCGCCGGUUCGGCUCCGGCUUGCGGCG
rnacentral:tRNA from 1 species